rnacentral:rRNA from 1 species
UACGUAGGUGGCAAGCGUUGUCCGGAUUUACUGGGCGUAAAGCGCGCGCAGGCGGACUGCUCAGUCUGGGGUGAAAUCUCUCGGCUCAACUGGGAGCGGUCCCUGGAUACUGUCAGUCUUGAGAGACCUAGAGGAGAGCGGAAUUCCCGGUGUAGUGGUGGAAUGCGUAGAUAUCGGGAAGAACACCAGUGGCGAAAGCGGCUCUCUGGGGGUUUUCUGACGCUGAGGCGCGAAAGCGUGGGGAGCGAACCGG